rnacentral:rRNA from 1 species
GACGUAGGGCGCGAGCGUUGUCCGGAUUUAUUGGGCGUAAAGAGCUCGUAGGCGGCUUGUCGCGUCGACUGUGAAAUCCCGCGGCUCAACCGCGGGUCUGCAGUCGAUACGGGCAGGCUAGAGUUCGGUAGGGGAGACUGGAAUUCCUGGUGUAGCGGUGAAAUGCGCAGAUAUCAGGAGGAACACCGGUGGCGAAGGCGGGUCUCUGGGCCAUAACUGACGCUGAGGAGCGAAAGCGUGGGGAGCGAACAGG